rnacentral:rRNA from 1 species
GAUGAACGCUAGCGGCAGGCUUAACACAUGCAAGUCGAGGGGUAUAGGGAGCUUGCUUCCUAGAGACCGGCGCACGGGUGCGUAACGCGUAUGCAAUCUACCUUUUGCAGAGGGAUAGCCCAGAGAAAUUUGGAUUAAUACCUCAUAGUAUGUGAGAAUGGCAUCAUUUUCACAUUAAAGUCACAACGGCAAAAGAUGAGCAUGCGUCCCAUUAGCUUGUUGGUAAGGUAACGGCUUACCAAGGCAACGAUGGGUAGGGGUCCUGAGAGGGAGAUCCCCCCANACUGGUACUGAGACACGGACCAGACUCCUACGGGAGGCAGCAGUGAGGAAUAUUGGACAAUGGGCGCAAGCCUGAUCCAGCCAUGCCCGCGUGCAGGAUGACGGUCCUA